GAUGAACGCUAGCGAUAGGCCUAACACAUGCAAGUCGAGGGGCAGCAUAGAGUAGCAAUACUUUGAUGGCGACCGGCGCACGGGUGAGUAACACGUAUGCAACCUACCUACAUCAGGGGAAUAACCCGGAGAAAUUCGGACUAAUACCGCAUAAUACAGGGAUGCCGCAUGGCAAUAUUUGUUAAAGAUUUAUCGGAUGUAGAUGGGCAUGCGUUCCAGUAGCUAGUUGGUGAGGUAACGGCUCACCAAGGCAACGAUGGAUAGGGGAACUGAGAGGUUUGUCCCCCACACUGGAACUGAGACACGGACCAGACUCCUACGGGAGGCAGCAGUGAGGAAUAUUGGUCAAUGGACGAGAGUCUGAACCAUCCAAAUCGCGUGAAGGAAGACUGCCCUACGGGUUGUAAACUUCUUUUGUACAGGAAUAAAAGACAUUACGUGUAAUGUAUUGCAUGUACUGUACGAAUAAGCAUCGGCUAACUCCGUGCCAGCAGCCGCCGUAA
rnacentral:rRNA from 1 species